GCUGGGUGUGGUGGUGCAUGCCUGUAAUCCCAGCUGCUGGGGAGGCUGAGGCAGGAGGAUUUUGAGUUCAAACCAGUCUCAGCUGAAGCCCUAAGCAACUCAGUUAGACCCUGUCUCUA
rnacentral:sRNA from 1 species